rnacentral:lncRNA from 1 species
AGCAGCCCCAGCAGCAGCAGGUAACUGCAGCCCCAGCAGCCUAAGAAAAGGCAGCAACAGUGAACAGGGUGUUGGAAGCAUUCCUUCUCCAUCCCAGGAAGUAGGAGAUCCUGUUCUAAGCACUAGCAAGUGGAACCUGACUCCUCCAGAAUCCCAGAUCUUCUCCAGGAGCCUGGCACCAGGGUGAGACUUGGGAUGAGAGGAAUCCUGGAAAGAGACAGAAAAACUGGCAGAUUCCCUCCUGACCCUCUCCCCUCAGAAGUGACACUCAGGGAACAUUAUAGUUCCACCAGCCUGGAGGACUCUUUGUCCCUUUGGGGAUGUGGGCUAUGAACGGAGGCUAAUCAGACAAAGUAUGGCAAGAUCAAUGGCACAAUCAGCGGAAUCUU